UUUUUUUUUUAUAAUUUUUAGCGUUUGAAUUUUUCAUUUAAGUCGAUUAGUUUGCAUGUUAUUUCACUUUAAAGUUUUGAUUUUUUUUACCUAUAUAUAUGUAUAAAACGGGUAGACUUGUAAUACAGGUAGUUAAUUGCAGCGGUUAUGAUGUCACGUAAAGACACACGGCGAUUAUUGACGAUUACUGUCAGAUAAGAUUUAUAAAUAAUGGUUUUUAGACACAUCGUUGUCACCUAGACUGAUAUCUACGGAUACGCGAUUUCUUAGUAAACAUGAAGCCGUUUUAUUUUCAUAUCAAAAUAUUUUAAAUAAUACUUUGAUAUGAAGAAAAAUUAUUUAAGUUCUCUGGAAUUUUAGUUUAUCAACUGUCACACUAAUCUUUGUAGUAUAACCUAAUUGUCAUUUAUUGAUAUCGUGUAUCCAAGUUUUGUGUGGUUACUUAAGUGUGUAAUUUUCUAUUGAAUCAUAGAAAGUACAUCGUUUUUUUCAACUGAAAUGUACGAUUAACAUGCAUUAAAUAUAACUCUUGAUUUAUUGGUAAAACACAAAAAUCAUUUUAGUUCUGAGAAACAGAAGAAUACUUAUUGUGAUUGUGCUUUGAAACGUUUAAACUGAUAUUGUCUAUACUUAUGAAUUAGCUUUGAUUUACCGAACGUUCGUGGAUUGGAACAACCAAAUUUGUGAACUCACAAUUUGUAUUCAAAUCAAUUUAAACAUAUUUUCUUACUAGAAAACCUGCAUGAUUAAAAUUUGUUUUGUAGAAAAACAUAAAGUUCUCAAUAAACUUAAUUUUAACUUGGAUUUCUGCUAUUUGAUGAUUUUGUAUUGUUGCCAUUUAUAUUUUCAAGCAUACAUUUAAGAAACUAGUAUAAUUUUCCAAUGAAAUCUGUUACUGCAAAUAGAUUUUUUUAAUCUAGUUUAACCUCAUAUUUUUUGGUUAAGUAUGA